rnacentral:lncRNA from 1 species
GGGUAACACAGCGUGAAAACAGGAAAAAAUGUCCCAGGUUUUGUCAGCAUUUUGCUGACACCCCAAUGUAUCCGCACAUUUUUUUUAAAGGGAAGAAGAGGGGCAGAGAAACAGAGGAAGGAAUACACCCUGCUGCAGAGUUGUAGACAAACGUGCUACAUCUGAUUUGACUAAAAUAUGUGGAAUGGUUAAAAAACAUAUGAACUACUAUCGCAGGAUAUUUGUAACAUGACCACAACACAUAACUCUACAGGAAGCAGAAGAUGCAAGAAAACAGGGAGGCAUUUCUCUACUGUGACCAUGGUCCCACCUCCACUUAAGUGAUAUGUGAUGAGCAUACUUAAAAAUGUUUUUGAGCCUUGGAAGGACAAAAAGCAUCCGUUUAAAAGUUUUUCCCUGCAGUCCCCCUCUCCGUGUUUCUGUUUGAACUUAAAUGAAAUGGAAAAGGAAUGAGAAGUUGAUCAGAAAAGUUCUACCACUUCACAUAUAUCUCUUAAUGUCAAUUUUGUUUUUAACUGGGAAUGAUAAUAUAUUGUACCGACAAUAGCAAUUGUGAAACUAGAUGUUGGUUUGGAAGUUUUAAACUACCAAUCACAGCAUCAGGAGCUUAUUUAUGUGUUCAUCCUUUAAUAUGAUUUAUACCACCUUCUGUCAGCAGUGCCCCUUUGCUUUCUACCACAGAUGAACAGGGCAAUCUCUGUGUAAAAGAAUUAAUAGAUGCAAAUCUGACACAAGGAAUGGCAACAGAGAGAAAGCAGUUUCAGAACAUUUCACCCUCCCAGCACACUGGAUUGUGAUGCCCCAACCUUGCCA